UCCUUUGAUAGCUCAGCUGGUAGAGCGGAGGACUGUAGGCUGUCUCUGAAAAGUAAUCCUUAGGUCGCUGGUUCAACUCCGGCUCAAAGGAA